CUUAAUUAUGAAUUUAGCCAUUAAUGAUUUGCAUAUUCUAAGUGUCUAGGAUCAUAUACGAUGGCUAAAGUUGCUCAUGGGAUCAAAUAAGUAGAAGGCAUGUCUUCGUUUAUUUUUUUAGACUGAAUUAAACAAAAUAUGAAAUUAUUCAUUGAUCAUUAUGAUGAUAAUGAUACCGUAGACCUAAUCAUCGUAAUAGUAAUUAAUUAACAGCAAUGAUGGAUGGAAAAUAUAAUUAAACAAUGUAUUGAUGGAAGGAAUUGGGCAAAGUAAACCGAAAAUAUGACAAAGAAGGUGUCGGACUCGAAUAAUGAUAAUGAUAAAACAAAAAUCUCAAAAAAAACGGAAUAAGGACAAGGAUAGUGAUGACAAAAUGAAAUGACAGAACGAUUAU